rnacentral:lncRNA from 1 species
AACGGCAGUUACUGUACGUUGGGAGGGAGAGAGACAUUUUCUUCAGUGCUGUAGCCCCUGAGUUAACUGCCCUUGCUCCUGUGCAUGGUCCCUCCCCGGUGUUCCUGAGGUGGCCAUCCAUCACAGGGGCUUGUACGUGUGGUCUGCAGUUCUUGCUCCUGCAACAUGUCAACCUGAGAUGGCCUGGCACAAAGUACUAUACUGGGUGAUCAGAACUGUAGGGAUUCAGGAUCAGCCACUUGCAGAAGCCAGAAGCCCAAGAUCAAGAGGAACUCCCGAAGGACUAGGGGACGUCACCCACUGUGCUUGCGGUAGUGCGUCUUUGAUCUCUCUACAGUGUCCUCCUCUCUUGGGUGUGCACAUGUUCAAGCUUCCGCUUCUGUAAGGACAUUGAAUUUGGGCUCAGCCAGGGAUGAAGAGUUGAGGACCACUAGAGGCUGUGGAGCAUCUUUUGGAAGGCUAAGCCUCAGAAGGACAAAAUCAGAAAGCAAAGCAGGGAAGUUUGUGAAGCGCCAUUCAAACAUGAGCCCUACAGGUCCUCCUACCAUCUGCCUCUUUCCCACUUUCAUCUCGUCUGGGAAGGACCAACUGCAGGAGGUGGAUGAGAAAGGAAGGAGGGAGGGCUGCUCAAGGCCCAGCUUACCUGACCUACCGUGCUGCCUGUCCUUCCAACCCAACCCCACACCAUGCAGCCGAGGAUGCUGUGAGCAGCUGCAAUGUUGUGGAGGAGAUCCGCUUUGACUUGGGAUCCAAUGAAACAUCACCUGAUGACAUCAUCUCCAUGAACCCUCCCCGGGACAGGAGAACAAAAGAGGAGAGCGACAGGAGGAGAUCCCCUGAAGAGCCAUCACUGGUCACUGGGUUCUAUCAUCAGUGAGCACUGGCCGCAGCCAGGAGGCCCCCACAGCCUCCCACACCACUAGACAAAGGGGCUGGAAGGAGGUGGGGUGCAGAUUGGUCACUUGCUUCACACUCUAUGUUGUUGCCUCUCUAUCUCAGAGGAAAACAGCACAUUUCCCAGGGGUAAAAACAGGCCCAGCUCUGUGAUCAUCAAACCACAGGGCUGGGCUCAGCCUGGUAUGGACUGAGAGCUACAGGGAGGAGCCUGGCCAGGACUCCUGGGGCCUGUCUGCUCACACAACCUGUUGCCAUUCAGACAACCCUGGGAGGCAGGCACCAGCUCCCCUACCCCUCCUCUAGCUGCUGGGUCUCAGCUAACGGCUCCUCCUUCCUGUAGUUCAACAUGAGGCCAGUCUUGUCCUCUGGAGAAGGACGUGGUCCACAUGGCUUCCACCUUAUGAAGCUACAUCCCUCCAGCCUCUGCAGGACAUGUGGGAUGGAGCGCCCACAGUGAGAGAACUGAGUGUCUCACUGGGCUCAGGGUCUUCAUCAGCUUGCCCCCUCCUCCUCACCAACAUUAUCACUGAUCAGUUCAGAGACUAUGCCUCCUUCCUGCAGGCACCAAAGGUGCUGGCCCCCUGUCCCAGGAUUCCAGAAACUGGUGGAAUUUCUUCCUGCAUGUCUUGACUUUCAUUUUGACUACACUUUUGAGAAUUUUUUUUUUCUAUUACUGACGAAAGCUUCUCCAGAAAACCUUGAAAGGGCUUAAGAAUGUGUCCCCAGCUGAUCCCUGCAAGGUCAAUGUAGAACUGGCCCUGGCCCUGGCCCUGGAUGGAGUCGCUCGGGGAAGGGCAGUGUUUCUCCAUCUCGUCCCAGGUCACUGCUGAUGUGAAGAUGAGGAACUUGGGCGCAUCCACGUGAACAAUCUCUCUUUGGCCUUAAAGGGCUGCGUCGCCCUGAAAGAGCCACAGCUCAGUGAGGCUGCUCUUAAGGUCACAAGUUCAAACCGAACAUAGAGAACUCCGUUCUGUAGCUGCCGCAUGAUGUUUAGUGGCUACCUGGAUGGCUGAGAAGACACUGUAAUUGAACUCCAAGGGCUCUCACGUUUAUGGAUGUAAAGACGCACCACGCAGAUGAUGAUACAUACAGAGAUGAGAAAGAUUUAAUACCCUCAGCAAGUUAGGAAUCGAUUAAGCCACUGUCCCCCUCUGAGGAGAGCGUGAGGACUUUACUCAGGGAGCUUAAAUAUAGUCCUGGAUGAGCAGCCAUUCAUAAGCAUGCUUGGCAAAGGAGGGCAGCACCUUCGUGGCCAUGCACAGUUUAAGGGAUAAAGACAGUCCUGAAAACUCUUUGUGUGUGAUGGCUGCGGUUACCCUGAACAAAUCUCAUCCCCCAAGAAGAGGCCCUGACGUCAGAGAUGGUGCCCAGCUCAUAGCUCCAAGGUUCCUUCCCGAUAGAGCCUGCGUCUUCAGAGAUGCAUCAGUGACGCUGCUGAUGCACGAGAGUGCAUGGCUGUUUCCAUGCACUGCUUCGCCAUUUUCUGCAAGGAUCUGCCUCCCCACUUGCAGAGCACAGAGGUGUCCAGGUGGCACUAACUGCCCCCACCCCUCCUCCAGGCUUUUUUCUGCUGUUGCAGGAUGCCCAGGCCCUGUGCUUGUUGGCAUUUGUUCUGUCAGGCUUCAAGCUUUUUCUCUUGGAAGCCUUUUAAGAGCCAAACCCUCACCAUUUGCUGAAUAAAACUUUCCCAGGGUUAAAACACUCUUUGUGCUAAGGGAUAAAGACAACUUAAAGGGUUCGGGUCCUCUGUGGGGCCACCGGGUUACACUAAACUGCUGCUGCAUGCACACAGCUCAUAGUGACCCUUCUCACAGUGUCCUCCCAUGUUGUCUUCCCCCAUAGCCUAAUGAGGAAUGGCUACAGCUUCACCCACAGAGCACAUAAAUCUCUCUUGUACCUUUGGAAGUGCAAAUGAGAGGUUCAUUAAUUAGGUAGACCUGUGCCGAUAGGUGUGCUGUGCAGGUCACCUCGGGAUUAGACAGGUUAGAGAUUGCAUCACAGACAGAAACCUCCAAACAUUGGGGGCAAAAUUACUCUUCUGUAGUCACAAACUGAAAACCUCUGAAUUUGUACAUUUUUAGAUGGGUGACUGGCAUACUUGUCUCCUUGGAGGAAGGCAUGAUGUGGCCUAUUCCUCCAAAUAGCCAGGGGAGGAGACUUCAAGUAGUAGAAAUGCAGAGAUGUUUGGACUGCUAAGCUGCCUGUAACCAUGCAAAGAGGCCCAGGUUUUCAGCUUUCAUGGACUGUCACCCAAGUUUGGGUGGGCCUUCUGGUGGUAAACAUGCCUUUUUUUCCCCCUUAAAGUCAUUGCUGUACCUUGUAUGUAACCCCACGUCAAUAUUCCUGGCAGUGACCCCAAUAAAACUUCAUUGCCUCACC